AGCUUUGUGCAGUGGCAGUAUCAUAGCCAGUGAGGUUUUUCCAAGGCGCAAUUAUUGCUAAUUGAAAACUUUUUCCAAUACCCCACCAUGACGACUUGCAAUACGGUCGGCACUGGCAAUUUUUGAUAGUCUCUACGGAGA
ensembl:snRNA U4 U4 spliceosomal RNA